CUGGCGGCGUGCUUAACACAUGCAAGUCGAGCGAUGAAGCUUCUUCGGAAGUGGAUUAGCGGCGGACGGGUGAGUAACACGUGGGUAACCUGCCUCAUAGAGGGGAAUAGCCUUUCGAAAGGAAGAUUAAUACCGCAUAAGAUUGUAGUACCGCAUGGUACAGCAAUUAAAGGAGUAAUCCGCUAUGAGAUGGACCCGCGUCGCAUUAGCUAGUUGGUGAGGUAACGGCUCACCAAGGCGACGAUGCGUAGCCGACCUGAGAGGGUGGUCGGCCACAUUGGGACUGAGACACGGCCCAGACUCCUACGGGAGGCAGCAGUGGGGAAUAUUGCACAAUGGGGGAAACCCUGAUGCAGCAACGCCGCGUGAGUGAUGACGGCCUUCGGGUUGUAAAACUCUGUCUUUGGGGACGAUAAUGACGGUACCCAAGGAGGAAGCCACGGCUAACUACGUGCCAGCCGCAGC
rnacentral:rRNA from 1 species